GAAUCAUCAAAUCUUUGAACGCACCUUGCACCUCUUGGUUAUUCCAAGAGGUACCCCUGUUUGAGUGUCUA
rnacentral:rRNA from 1 species